GUACACGCUGUGACUAGCAUAUCAAUAAGCGGAGGAAAAGAAACUAACAAGGAUUCCCCUAGUAACGGCGAGUGAAGCGGGAAGAGCUCAAAUUUGAAAUCUUAAAGGGUUUCCCUUUACGAAUUGUAGUUUAAAGAAGUGUUUUCUGUUGAGGUUUUGGUAAAAGUUCUUUGGAAUAGGACAUCAUAGAGGGUGAGAAUCCCGUAUUUGACCUUUACUUUCAACUUUGUGAUACACUUUCAAAGAGUCGGAUUGUUUGGGAAUGCAGUCCAAAAUGGGUGGUAAAUUUCAUCUAAAGCUAAAUAUUGGCGAGAGACCGAUAGCGAACAAGUACCGUGAGGGAAAGAUGAAAAGAACUUUGAAAAGAGAGUUAAACAGUACGUGAAAUUGUCAAAAGGGAAGCGUUUGACACCAGUGUUGUUUUUCUGAAAAUCAAUUAAAGAACUGUUUAUGCUAAGUUGUUUAGACUUUAUCAGCUAACUGUUUAGUUUUGAGCUUUUCUUUAAUGCACUUUUCAGUUAACAAGUCAACAUCAAUUUCUUUUGCUGUAAAAAAGCUUGAGGAAGGUGGCUUGAGAUUCGUCUUAAGUAGUUUAUAGCCUCUUGCCUAUGCAGUCGGAGAGAUUGAGGUCUGCAGCGUAGAUCCUUCGGGGCUAAAUGCAUUUGUGCUAAGUUAUAGCAUUUCAUAGACAACUUGUUGACUAUGAUUUGUCUUGUAGCUUACUCGCUUAUGUUAUUUUACCUACGCUUAGGAUGUUGACAGCAGUAUAGACUGU
rnacentral:rRNA from 1 species